rnacentral:rRNA from 1 species
AGUGAACGCUGGCGGCGUGCUUUACACAUGCAAGUCGAACGAUGAAGCUCUUGCUUGCAAGAGUGGAUUAGUGGCGAACGGGUGAGUAAUAUAUAGUUAACCUGCCCUAGAGAGAGGGAUAACGUUUGGAAACGGACGCUAACACCUCAUAUGCCUUUAAGUCAUAAGACUGCAAGGGAAACAUUUAUGGCUCUAGGAUGGGACUGUACGGUAUCAGUUAGUUGGUGAGGUAAUGGCUCACCAAGACAAUGACACCUAACUGGUUUGAGAGGAUGAUCAGUCACACUGGAACUGAGACACGGUCCAG